UAGGCAAAAAGAAAUUAAGUUUUAAAAUGCUGUUAGUCUUUAAAAUAAGACCCGAAACUAAGUGAUCUAACCAUGAGCAGGCUGAAAUUAAGGCGGAAAAUGCCUUUCGGAGGGCCGAACCCGUGUAUGUGGAAAAAUACUGGGAUGACUUGUGGUUAGGGGUGAAAGGCCAAUCAAACUUAGAGAUAGCUGGUUUUCUGCGAAAUCUAUUUAAGUAGAGCGUUUAAAGU
rnacentral:rRNA from 1 species